AUACGUAGGGUGCAAGCGUUAAUCGGAAUUACUGGGCGUAAAGCGUGCGCAGGCGGUUAUAUAAGACAGAUGUGAAAUCCCCGGGCUCAACCUGGGAACUGCAUUUGUGACUGUAUAGCUAGAGUACGGCAGAGGGGGAUGGAAUUCCGCGUGUAGCAGUGAAAUGCGUAGAUAUGCGGAGGAACACCGAUGGCGAAGGCAAUCCCCCUGGGCCUGUACUGACGCUCAUGCACGAAAGCGUGGGGAGC
rnacentral:rRNA from 1 species